rnacentral:lncRNA from 1 species
GCGUCCGUGCGCUGGGACGCUUUGGCGCUCUCGGGCGAAGCUCCGUGAAGCGCGCGUCCGCCUCCGCCUCCGGGACCACGUUCCUUCUUGGGUCGCGGUGAACAAAACCCUGCAGCGAACCAGCGGGCGAUUCGGACGCGCACCCCGCUGACGGCUGCUGGCCCCAGUCCACGCGUUCCUCAGGCCGCCGGCGAGGCGACGCCAGGCCGGAUUCCCGCGCGUCCCCCCGCCCUUGCCGCACUUUUCUGGGAGAGGAGUCGAGGCGGAGGGAGGAGCGCGGCUGUUGAGUUAGAGGUCUGAUCGCGACCCUCCCGCCUACUGUGCCUCCUUUCCUCCUCUGUAGGAAUUAGGCACGACUGCGGGCCCUUGUAGUUGGGCCUCACCGAGCGCGGGCGCGCGCGGCCGGCCUCGUGGGCCCGCUGAACCCAGUCCCGGUCCGGCCCGUCCACAGAACGGGUGCAGGGCCUGGCACUCAGACCGAGCAAAAGGCCGCCCUCCCGGGGAUGCUGUUCUGGUGGGAAGAGAAAAAAGGAGACACGGUGACGUUGAGUGGUGGUGUGCGCCAAGGAAGGGGCUCUCAGGAGCCGGUCCCACUCGAAAUGGGCCAUCGAGGAAGGUCUCGACGAGAGGAGAAGAGAGCUUCGACCUAGGCACACAUUCCAGGAAGUUUGGGACUGGAGAUGGGUCUCAGUGGCAGAGCGCUGGCCUAGCAUGUGUGAGGCACUGGGUUUGAUGCUCAGCACUGCAUAAAUUGAGGUUCAUCAUCAUCUAAAAAAAAGUUCGAAAAAGAAGGUUAUACUGAAAAGUAAUGGAAAGGAAAAAUUUAAAAAGCAAUUAGUAGAGAAAGCAAGCAUUCAAUGGAAAGGAGCGUUCACAAACUAAUGUUAACUCUGAAAAGACUGAUAAAUUUCAAUAAACCUGAAAACAUUGAACAAGAAGAAAGCAAAAUUAAUCAACACUGAGACAAUAAAAGUGGCAUCACUACAAAUACCAUAAACAAAUAAGACGAUAUUGUGAACAACCAAGAAACUAGACAAUUUAGAAGAAAACAGGAGUGAUCCUGGAAAAACACGAGUUAUCAAAAUGUAUACAAGAAAAAAUAAAACCUGAAUAUGGUGGCUAAGCACCUCUAGUUUCAAUCACUGAUAAUACAAAAAGAAGAAGAAGAAGAAAUAGAAAAUCUAAAUGAUCACAGCUAUUUAGGAUUUCAACUCCAAAAGUUAAAGAAUACUGUCACAUAGAAAAUGCCAGUCUCCCAUGGCAUGGUUAGCUGGUAAGUUCAAUCAAAUUUUAAUAGAGAAAUAACAUACAUCUUACACUCUCUUCUAAGCAAUGGAAAGAGAAAGAGAACUUAUCAGCACAUGUUAUGAAGCAAGCAUAACCUUGACACCAAAACCUCUUCAAGGAUGUUUCAAGAUAAAUCAAAAUUAAGAUCUAUCUCAGAAACUUGGCCACAAAAGUUCCAAAUAAACAGCAAAUUGAACGUCUGUUCUUUGUUGUAUUCAUCAAUAUGUAAAGAAGACAAUACAACCAAGUUGUGUUUUUUCCUAGGAAUGCAAGGUUGCUUAACAUUUUUAAAAAACUAUAAAUAUGACAGAGUAAUUGCCUAGUAUGAUGGUUUAGAUGUGAGGUGUCCCCCCAAAACUCAUGUGUUACAUAAUAUAAGAACAUGCAAAGAUGAAAUGUUUGGGUUAUGAGACCUUUAACACAAUCAGCGCAUUAAUCCCCUGGCAGGGAUUAAUUGAGUGGUAACUGAAGCCUGAUAGGGUGUGGCUGGAAGAG